AACAUGUGCAAAAUGAGAGAGGUAAGAUUGAGACGGUUUGGACAAGUGCAGAGGAGAGACCCAGGGUAUAUAGGGAGAAGGAUGCUGAGGAUGGAGCCACCAGACAGGAGGAGAAGAGGGAGGACUAAGAGGAGGUUUAUGGAUGUGGUAAGGGAGGACAUGCAGGUGGUUGGUGUGACAGAGGAAGAUACAGAGGACAAGGAGAGAUGGACAUGAUUGUUCU